GUUCUUUAGAUUUUUAUUUAAGAUCAGGCCUGCCCAUUGAUUUUAAUUAUUAAAAGGCUGCGGUAUUUUAACUGUACUAAGGUAGCAUAAUCAUUUGUCUUUUAAUUGAAGGCUAGUAUGAAUGGUUUGAUGAAAAAUAAACUUUCUUUAAAAAAUUGUGAUGAAUUUAACUUUUUAUUUAAAAGGUUAAAAUUUUUUUAUAGGACGAGAAGACCCUAUAGAUGUUAACUAAAUUUAUAAAUGGAAUUUUUUGUUUUUAUUUUUUUUAUUUAGAAUAUUUAGUUUCGUUGGGGUGACGGUAAAAUUUUAAUAACUUUUAUUUUUUUUUUCAUAAAUUUAUGUUUUUUUGAUCCAAAAUUUUUGAUUAUAAGAUUAACUUACCUUAGGGAUAACAGCGUAAUUUUUUUGGAGAGUUCAUAUCGAUAAAAAAGUUUGCGA
rnacentral:rRNA from 1 species